rfam:Papio anubis isolate 1X1155 chromosome 1, whole genome shotgun sequence.
GCCUAUGGUCAUAACACCCUGAAAGUGCUCAAUAUCAUCUGAUCUCGGAAGCUAAGUAGGGUCAGGCCUGGUUAGUACUUGGAUGAGAAUAAUGAAGAAAUAAGAGGUGAUUGGGGAUA